rnacentral:rRNA from 1 species
GACGAACGCUGGCGGCGUGCUUAACACAUGCAAGUCGAACGGAAAGGCCCUGCUUUUGUGGGGUGCUCGAGUGGCGAACGGGGGAGUAACACGUGAGUAACCUGCCCUUGACUUUGGGAUAACUUCAGGAAACUGGGGCUAAUACCGGAUAGGAGCUCCUGCUGCAUGGUGGGGGUUGGAAAGUUUCGGCGGUUGGGGAUGGACUCGCGGCUUAUCAGCUUGUUGGUGGGGUAGUGGCUUACCAAGGCUUUGACGGGUAGCCGGCCUGAGAGGGUGACCGGCCACAUUGCGACUGAGAUACGGCCCAGACUCCUACGGGAGGCAGCAGUGGGGAAUAUUGCACAAUGGGCGGAAGCCUGAUGCAGCAACGCCGCGUGCGGGAUGACGGCCUUCGGGUUGUAAACCGCUUUCGCCUGUGACGAAGCGUGAGUGACGGUAAUGGGUAAAGAAGCACCGGCUAACUACGUG